GCUAUUUUGGCAGAAAAAAUGUGAUGAUUUUAGAAUUCAUUUAUAUAUAAAUAAAUUAUAUAUGUAGUA
rnacentral:tRNA from 1 species